rnacentral:rRNA from 1 species
UACGUAGGGUGCAAGCGUUGUCCGGAAUUAUUGGGCGUAAAGAGCUCGUAGGCGGUCUGUCGCGUCUGCUGUGAAAACUCGGGGCUUAACCCCGGGCCUGCAGUGGGUACGGGCAGACUAGAGUGCGGUAGGGGAGACUGGAAUUCCUGGUGUAGCGGUGAAAUGCGCAGAUAUCAGGAGGAACACCGGUGGCGAAGGCGGGUCUCUGGGCCGUAACUGACGCUGAGGAGCGAAAGCAUGGGGAGCGAACAGGG